rnacentral:lncRNA from 1 species
CAACAUUUAUUAUGAUAACAUUUGCCAUGUGAUCCAUAGGAAUAGGUUAAACAUACCAUACAACACUCGUAAUCGUGAUCAAGACAACCCGCCAACCAAUCAUAACAAACAAGAUUUUCGGUCAAAUUAAUUCCCCCUGCUGAUCAAAAUUAUCAUUAAAUAUCGUAUGCGCAUUAUAAUUAUGAAUACAAUAAAUAUUCAAUAAAUUUCUUUCAAAUGUUGCUCCUUGCUUAAAUAGAAGCGGUUAUAUUGAGUUUUGUGAGUUUAAGUCACUUGAUUUGAUAGGACAUUGUAUUAUAUACGUAGAGACUGAAGUUUGAAUCUCUGUUAUCCUACUUAUUCACCUCAAUAAUAGAAUUUUUACUUGACCAACAAAAAAAAAAGGUUGUAUUGCAAAAACAAGAACAACAUGGAUCUAAGCAUAUGAAAUGAUAAUUUAUUUGAUAAUAAAUUUUCAUAUUUUCUAAAUAAUUAAAUUUUAUUAAUAAACUUAAAAUAUGAUAAUAUUUUCUUGAGUGAUAUAAAAUCUAAAAUAAACCUGGAGUUGUGAACCUAAUAAGCACUAAACAGAAAAUUGCUUUUACUGAUAACACAAAGUAGACAUAGGUGAAAUAAUAUUUAAGAAAUAUAAUUUAUAUGCAUUUCAAAUAAAAAAAUAUGAAAAAAAUAAUAAUUUUGUUCCUGUCUCCUUAGAAAUCAAGGACACAGUAGUACAAUCCUAUAGAACAAAUCAUGUUCAAGUAAGAUCGUAAUAUGAAAAAAAAUAUAUUGAAUAUAUUUUUUUGAAAGGAUAUAUUGAAUAUAUUUGAUAAAAUAUAUAUUAUCUAAAAAAUUUAAGAAACAUUAGACAUUUGAAAUACAUAAUAUAUGCAUUUUCAAAGAAACGGUUUUUCAAAACAAAAAAUAUUUUGUAUUUCAAAUACCAUUUCACAUACUAUCAUGAUAAAAUUCAAGUUUUGGAUGUACUAAAAAAAAAAAAUUCAAGUUUUGGAGUUAUGAAGUUAGUAUGUUACCUGAAAUUACAAUUGAGGCAAUGCACAAAAUUGCAAAGGUAAAGUAGAGACUUUUGGCAUGGAUGGACAUUUUUCUUUGAAAUAUUGAAAAGCAACUCCUUCCAUUAUACUAUAUAAGGUGGCUAGAGAAGAUAAUGAAAUGUUUGUUUAUUUGUUUUUACCAAAGGUAGUUGAUUGUAUUAAAAAUAAUAAAG